UACCGGGUGGUAUUGGCCGGCUUGAUGCGCGGCCCAAGGUGACCGCGCGCGAUCUGAAUUUCUAUUAUGGCGAGCACCACGCCCUGAAGAGCAUCAAUCUUGUUCUCGGCGAGAACCGCGUGACCGCCUUCAUCGGUCCGUCGGGCUGUGGCAAGUCGACAUUGCUGCGCAUCUUCAAUCGCAUGUACGACCUUUAUCCCGGUCAGCGAGCGGUCGGCCAGUUGAUGCUGGACUCGACCAAUAUUCUCGAUCCGAAACUGGACCUGAAUUUGCUGCGCGCCAGGAUCGGUAUG
rnacentral:misc_RNA from 1 species